rnacentral:rRNA from 1 species
GGCUCAGGACGAACGCUGGCGGCGUGCCUAACACAUGCAAGUCGAGCGGAGUUGACAAGAGGAAGCUUUCGGAUGGAAUUUGUAAUUAGCGGCGGACGGGUGAGUAACGCGUGAGCGACCAACCUUGCACAGGGGGAUAACGGACCGAAAGGUUCACUAAUACCGCAUGAGACCACGGUGUUGCAUGACACAGGGGUCAAAGGAGUAAUCCGGUGCAAGACGGGCUCGCGUCCGAUUAGGUAGUUGGAGGGGUAACGGCCCACCAAGCCUAUGAUCGGUAGCCGACCUGAGAGGGUGAUCGGCCACAUUGGAACUGAGAUACGGUCCAAACUCCUACGGGAGGCAGCAGUGGGGAAUAUUGGGCAAAUGGGGGAAACCCUGACCCAGCAACGCCGCGUGAAGGAAGAAGGUUUUCGGAUUGUAAACUUCUGUCCUUGGUGAAGAGAAGAAGACGGUAGCCAAGGAGGAAGCCCCGGCUAACUACGUGCCAGCCGCUGC